GGCACCUACGGGACGCAGCAGUGGGGAAUAUUGGGCAAUGGGCGCAAGCCUGACCCAGCAACGCCGCGUGAAGGAAGAAGGCUUUCGGGUUGUAAACUUCUUUUCUCAGGGACGAAGCAAGUGACGGUACCUGAGGAAUAAGCCACGGCUAACUGCGUGCCAGCAGCCGCGGUAAUACGUAGGUGGCAAGCGUUAUCCGGAUUUACUGGGCGUAAAGGGCGAGUAGGCGGGGAAGCAAGUCAGAUGUGAAAACAAUGGGCU
rnacentral:rRNA from 1 species